rnacentral:rRNA from 1 species
AUCUAAGGUCAUAUGACUCUGGUCACACCCAAUCUCAUUUGAUCUUGGAAGUUAAACAGGGUCAGGCCUAGUUGAUACUUGAUGGAGAUAGCUAUGCUCAUGUGAUGAUUCCAAAGCUGGAUACUUAAGAUA